UUAGUUUGAGGUUUAACACGCGAACCAAUUGGACGGAGUGUGUUUUUUACAUAAUAAAAGAUCUAUGCGCAUGCGCGAGAAAUGGUGGUGCAAAAUUUUUCAGGAUAAAAAAAUAUGGAAAAUACGUUAAAUAAGUGAUAGGAUAGCUAUAAUAUUAUGUGACUUAUGGUGUAUCUUGUAAGUGAUUGGAUUACUGAUGACAAGAAAACGUAAAAAGACUAAAGAAUCACCAAGGAGUAGUCAGACCGAGAUCAAACGACAGACAACAAUGGCUCAAAAUGGCGGGAUACAGGGCAUUCAAUAUAGCCCAAACGCAGGUUAUCAGGCAAGUCAAACUUCUAAUAUGCAACAAAUGCCGCAAAUGUAUCAGCCAAAUGCGCCGUACACGGGAAUGAACUCAGCAUCACCCGUGUUGCAAGCCUGCAGCACACCAUCUACCCCAACAAUGCAGACAUUUUCAAAUCAAAAACAUGGACAUGUUUACAAUGUUAUUUCAAAGGCUGAAUUCUAUGGAUGAUAAGUUGUCACAAUUAAGCGAGAUUAAAAACAGCAUGAAUCAAAUGACCGUUAGAAUGGACAUAAUGGAUAAAAAGAUCAAUGAAGUCGAGGGCAAGAUCAAGGACAUUGAAUCGAGCAGGCAGUUUGACACGAAAACAUUAGAUGAUAUAUGCAAUAAGCAAACUGAACUCGAGUCCAUGAUGAAGUCGUUGAAAAAAAUAGACUCUAAACAAAAAUCGAAAGAAGAAGAACUUAGAAAUGAAGUAGUGGAUUUAAAAUGUCGCAGCAUGAGGGACAAUUUGAUGUUCUAUAAACUUCCUGAAGAAAAGGGUGAAAAUUGUGAAGAGAAAGUAUUAGACUUUAUUGAGAACGAGCUUCAAAUUGAAAACGCAAAACAGGAAAUCAAGUUACACCGUGCACAUAGAGUUGGAGCGUACAGAAACACGAACGUCCGUCCGAUAGUCGCAAAAUUUGCAUACUAUCCAGACAGGGAGAGAGUUCGCAAAGCAUCAAAGAAAUUAGCAGGCAAACCAUUUGGCAUUGGCGAGCAAUUCCCUAAGGAGAUAGUAGAGACCCGGCGUAAGUUGAUCCCGAUCAUGAGGAAGGCUAAACAGGAUGGUAAACAGGCUUACUUAAGCGUUGACAAACUGUACAUUAACAAUGUCUUAUAUACUGGUGACUAGGAGGUAAACGGGGGUGUUCUGAAAUGCUUAAGUUGGAACGUUGAGGGACUUACUCUCGAAUAGAGAUCAUCGCCUGAUUUUGUUCAACUUUUACAAGACCAUGAUAUCAUAUGUUUGAGUGAGACAUGGACUAAUAAAUCUUCAAAUGUAAAUUUAAAGGGAUAUAGUAAUCCUAUUCAUUCCUAUAGACGAUUUCAACAUAGAAAUGCAAAAAGAUCGAGUGGUGGACUGAUUAUAUAUAUUAAGGAUACAAUAAGAAAGGGUGUUAAAUUAGUUAAAAAUGAUAUAGAUUGUUUAAUUUGGUUGAAAUGCGAUACACGUUUUUUUUUUAAUAUUGAGGAUGAUGUAUAUUUGGGAUUUGUAUAUGUAGACCAGAGUCUUCUCCGGUACACAAUAGGUACAAUGUCGACAUUUUUCGGCAACUAGAAAUUGAUAUUAAGGAAUAUCAAGAAAAAGGCUGCGUAUUCGUUUCUGGAGACAUGAAUUCGCGAAUAGGCCGUAAAACCGAUUUUAUCAAUAAUGAUCACGCGCUAGGCAAUACUGACCCGCUUUUAAUUGAUGCACAUUUACCGCGAGCGACACGGGAUUUCACAACAAACCGUUUUGGUGAUAAUCUCAUUGACAUCUGCCGAUCUACUAAUAUUCGCAUUGUUAACGGACGGCUAUAUGGAGAUCAAAAUGUAGGGAAAUACACAUGCAUGACCUAUAAUGGGGAAAGUAUAGUUGACUAUGUGCUAACUUCCCAAUCAAAUUUUGAUAAACUAGCAAACUAACAUAUGUGAUUUUAAUGAAUUUUCAAAUCAUGCUCCGAUACUAUUUUCGCUAAAAACAAUGACUAACAAAACGUUCAAUACAGGUACUUUCCGAAAUUACUAUAAGUGGAACCCGAAAUACAAAGAAAAUUUUGUGAAUGAUGUAAUGACGGGUAGCAGAAAUCUUGAGUUACAUCUGCAGGAAAACAUAAAUAACGGUUGUGAUUCAGACUCGUUAGCUAAUAUAUUUACUAAUUUCUUUCAAGUAAAGGCAGAUAAAUACUUUGUAAAUACCGUUAGGUACGGUGGUACAUAUUUCACAGAUACGGACAGAUAUAAGAAUAAAUGGUUCAAUGAUGAGUGUCAGCAAAAACGUGAGUUAUACAAACAAGCAUUGUAUCAAUACAAUUUAAAUACUAACGACGUUACUCGACAAUGUCUUAUACAUAAGAAGCGAGAUUGCAAAAAUACAUGUAAGAGAAGUAAGUCAAAUUUCCAUCGCGAGUUGAGUAAAAAACUGAACGAAAUGAGAAGAAAAACGCCGCGCGAAUUUUGGAAAAUGUUUAAACGAAAUACACAAAAUGAUAAUAAUGAAAACAUAACUCUUGAUCAAUUUUAUGAACAUUUUAAACAAUUGGCCGCAGCUGAACAUGAAAAUAAUGAAGAAUAUAUAGAGUUUUUGCAAAAUUUCGACAAUAACGUUGAUUUGUCAAACCCUUCAUUCCAGGAGCUUGAUAACCCUAUAACGGCGUCGGAAAUAUUACGCGCGUCAAAGAAGCUUGGUAAUAAUAAAGCUUGUUCGCUCGACAAUAUUUUUUGCGAAUAUUUAAAAGAAACUAUACAGGUAAUAGUCCCGUCGUUAGAAUUAUUUUUUAACCAUAUACUUAAUACAAAAACAUUCCCCCGAAGCUAGUCUUCGGGCAUUAUUAUACCGUUAUAUAAAAAAGGAGAUAAUACGGACCCAAAUAACUUUAGAGGUAUAACUUUGAUAAGCUGUUUCGCGAAACUAUUCACUGUUAUUAUUAAUGAACGGCUUGAACAGUGGGCUGAGCAAAACGGCAUUUUGACCGAUGCACAGUUUGGAUUCAAAAAUAGAUAUGGAACAGUGGAUGCUGUCUUUAUUUUGCAUUCUUUGAUUGAGAAUCAGUUCAAGAAUAAAAAUAAUUUGUUUUGCUGCUUUGUGGAUUACCAGAAAGCUUACGAUUUAAUUGACAGAAAUUGUUUAUGGUUUAAAUUAAUUAAACUAGGAAUAGACGGAAAAAUGCUUUCACUUCUUAGGUCUAUGUACAAUGAAGUAAAAUUAUGUGUUAGGCACAUGAAUACUUUGUCUGAUUUUUUCAAAUGUGAAAUCGGAUUAUUUCAAGGGGAAAUUACUUCACCAAUUAUGUUCUCGUUAUUCUUAAAUGAUAUUGAAAUGCCCUUACAACAAAAUAUAAACGCAGGUUUAACAGUUGAGCAGAUAUAAAUUUUUUUGAUAUUAUUUGCAGAUGAUGCGGUAUUGUUAUCCGAAACUAUGGAAGGAUUACAGAACUCGCUGAAUAGCUUAGAGCAGUAUUGUAAUAAAUGGAAGUUAACGGUUAAUGUUCAAAAAACCAAAAUAGUAGUUUUUCGUAAGGGUGGGGCACUGAAUAGGCAAUAUAGAUGGUCAUAUGCUGGAAACGAAAUAGAAAUUGUACAAAACUUUAAUUAUUUGGGAAUUGUUUUUUCAAGCGGGGGAUCGUUUGUGCAAGCAACUAAUACGCUCAGUGGAAAAGGUCUCAGAGCUAUGAACAUGUUAUUUAGCGUUACAAAGAAUUUACAUACACCGAUUCACAUAAUGUUUAACUUGUUUGAUUCAUAUGUAUUGUCAAUUUUGAACUAUAAUUGUGAAGUAUGGGGUUUCCUUAAGGCAGAAAAUAUAGAACGUGUACAUAAGAAAUUUUGUAAAUGGUUACUAAAUGUGAAAAUGACUACUAACACUUUAUCCUUGUAUGCUGAAUGUGGUAGAUUUCCUUUAUAUAUUGAAAGGCAUGUUCGUAUUAUUAAGUAUCGGUUAAAGCUGAAUACAUCAAAAAGUGAAAAUUGCAUUCUCUAUCAUAUAGUAAAGAAUCAAAGAUAUAGUAUAGAACACAAUCAAAAUGUCAGUAACUGGACAUCCAAAGUGCGAAAAUUGUUGCAAGACUCGGGUUUUGAAGAAAUUUGGUUAUUUCCGGAAUCUGUAAAUAUAAAUAUGUUUAUACCAGAAUUUAGGCUAAGACUGAGAGAUAUUUAUAUUCAGAACUGGCGUACAAAUAUGAACACGUGUACAUCGUUAUACAUAUACAGAGAAAUUAAGUUGUCAUAUGUAAAAUCUGAAUACUUAGAAAUUUUAGACAAUAAAAAAUACAGAAAUGUAAUUGCAAAGUUAAGAUUAAGUUCACACAAUCUUGCUAUUGAAACGGGAAGACAUAGACAAGUAGAUAGAAGUCAAAGAAAAUGUACCAUGUGUGAUUUGAAUGAUUUAGAGGACGAAUUUCACUUUGUUUUAAAAUGUCCAUAUUAUAGUAAUCUUAGACAGCAGUUUAUUCCAAGAUAUUAUGUAAGACACCAGAGCGUUUUUAAAUUUAUAUCUCUUAUAAACUCGGAUAGGAAAUCAGUAUUAAUAAAACUAGCUAAAUUUUGUAUACAAGCAUCUGAGGUUAGAAACCAGGUAAACAUAAAUUAAAGUUUGUUGUUGAUAUUUUAUCUAUAAUGUCAAGGUACCGACUGUAGUUUAAAGUUAGUUUAAACAUAUUUAUUUCGUAAUGUACAUUUAAGAAUGACAACUGACAUGACUACACACAAUAGGAAAAGGAUUGGAACGAUAGAAUUAACUAAAAUAGUUCCUCUCCUUACAGAUAAAUUACAUACAAUAAUGGCAGGCAUUAAAUAUACGAUCUUAAAUACAUUACAUCUAGUUUAAAGUUGAUGUACAUUUGCCACGAUUGUUAUACAUUUAUUGGGCGAUGUAAAUGAACACUCUCACACGUUUUGACAAGUUUUGACUGUAUUGACAGGACGGACCCUUUCAAGAACAUGUCGAGCUAAACGGUGUCAAGAAAAACGUGCCAGUAACAGUGACAUUGAACCAAAAGCAAAAAGCCUUAGCAAUUGUUAAAUACACAAGCGGCAAAAACAAAAUAACAAGUGACAAGGUUGUUGUAUCUGUUGAUGGAAAGCCGAACGUUUUGAUACCUGUUUCUUUUAAAAAAGUGUAAAUAUUGAAUUGUCAGAUUUUGACAAGUUUGAUUUGUUUCUAGUUAUCAUAUUUUGUUUGUUAUGGCGAAUGUAGAUAAUUCCCAAUACAAUAUUAACAGAAAAAGAUACUAUUUUCCUAUGGUAAAGAACUGGUUCAGUUUGAAAGUAAUAUACAUCAAAUAUAUAUUAGACAUAAAUGUUUCAAUCCUAUUGACCGUUCUAAAUUUUUCUCCCCAUUCUACUUCGUACAUUCCAUAGUAGAAGUCAUUUGAGUAU
rnacentral:misc_RNA from 1 species